rnacentral:rRNA from 1 species
UACGAAGGGGGCGAGCGUUGUCCGGAUUUAUUGGGCGUAAAGAGCUCGUAGGCGGUUCGAUAAGUCGGACGUGAAAUCUCCACGCUCAACGUGGAGGGGCCGUUCGAUACUGUCGUGACUCGAGUCCGGUAGGGGAGUGUGGAAUUCCCGGUGUAGCGGUGAAAUGCGCAGAGAUCGGGAGGAACACCCGUAGCGAAGGCGGCACUCUGGGCCGGUACUGACGCUGAGGAGCGAAAGCGUGGGGAGCAAACAGG